GCUUGGAUGGCUCAGUUGGUUAGAGCGCAGGUCUCAUACUCCGCGUAUGACCACCUUUCGGUGGGCAAUCCUGAGGUCGUGAGUUCGAUCCUCACUCCGAGCA
rnacentral:tRNA from 1 species